GUUAGCUCAUAAUGAGCUAACCCUUAGUUCAAUAAUUGAACUAAAGCCAGCUCAUAAAUGAGCUAAAAGUUCAGCUCAAAUAUGUUAAACUACUAGACUCAAGGGAAGCCAAAAUUUGAUUUAUUUUGGACUUGUGUUGACCCCCCCUUUGUCUACAUCAAAAGAGGUAAAUUUUAAUUCUCAAUUUAAUGCUGCAAUACAUGUAAGAAUUGGGCCUGGUCCGUUCAAUUGAAUCGACCUGUUACUGUAACAGAGAUAGAACCGCGGGCAAAACAGCAAUCGAGCGGGCCGCAUGCAUGCAUGCAUUUUCCUGGAUGGUUUGGAUCGCUGUUUUACGUGGAUAAUCAUGUGAGGGAGUGAAAAAGAACGACUCUUCAUGCGAGAUAACUUUGAUUCAUUCACUCCAAUGCAAGUAAACGAACGUGAGAAGCUUCAACCAAGAGGAACUAGGCCGAGAGGAAGUAGAAGGAGGCGGAAUAGAAAGAAAAUUUGGAAGAGGAAGAAUUUGGAGUUUUUGUAGUUUCCUCUAUCUUUGACGACACAGGAAGGAGAAGAAUCCAAGUGAUGUAAACUUUGAUUCGACAGUGAAGGAAGAAAAUUUGCUAGGAAGGAAUGGAAGCUUUGGUGAGGUAAUUAUUUUGAUUUAAUAAAAAUUUUGGGGUGAAUUAGAGCCAUUUAGUGUUAUGUUAAUGAUGUUCAAUUAGGUAAAAGUCCUCUUUAGAAACGUUUGAAGUAAUUUAUGUUGUCAUAAGAAGAGCAAGAAUACUUGAUGUAGCUUUGAUGAUAAAUUUGAGUACUCUAAGUUGAAUUUUUUAUUUUAAUUAAGAUCUCAUUAAUGUUAUUUGAACAAUAAAAGGUUUUCAUAAUUGAGUUGAGAAGAGUAUUGAAAAUUUAUAACAAAGCUUGAGGUUUGAAAUGAACUGAAGCACAAAAGUAAUCAAAAUGAGUAAUUAUAAUAUAAUUGUUUUAUUCAAAUUCAGUUUCUUAUUAUGUUAUUACAAUUCCCUUUUAAGUAUUGCAAUUAUUGCAUAUUAUAUGAAUUAAUGGAGAGGACAAGGAAAUGAAAAUGUGAAUUAUUAUUGUAUAGGUGAUAUAGUUAAAUGUUAAAUAUAUAAAAAUUUUGAGAAUGAUUGAAUUACUAAGGUUUAUAGUGUAAUGUAUAUACAAAUAAUGAUUUAUAUGAAAAUGAAAGUAUUAAAAGAAAAAAAUGUACAUGCAUUCAAAUACAGGAGUUCACUCUCUUAUGGUAUUGAUUGGAGACGCAACGUACUCUUGCACGUUUAAUGAAAAUAGUUGUACCUGUAUUGUUACAAAUACUUAGACGAUGCUCCUAUACUAAAUGAAAAUGAUUAAGUGUUAUUUGAAGAGAAUUAUGUUGUUUGAAAUCAAAAUGAUAUAUAUAUAUAUAUCAAAGAAAGUCAAAUUAAUAUAAUUAUUUUAUGUAUAAUUACUAUACUACAAGUAUAAUUAUCCACUGAGUUUACUUUGUAAAUUCAAACUGUUAAACUAAAAUUUUUAGGUAAAUCUUUUAAAAAGUAGAAUGGUUGAAAGAGAGUAAUAUGUGUACAUAAGAAGGCGCUCCAAUGAAAGCAGGUAACAUCUAGUUUAUGUAUAUGUUCAAAUGUGUACGUUGUGUUAGUGGUUCUUUAAUUUUUAUAUGGGAUGUAAAUAUAGUUGAUAAAUUGUAUUUGAAUUUAAAAGAAAUGUAUUAAAUGUCUGAUUGUUUGUUCAUGUAUCGUUAAUUCAAGUCUCUGAGCCUGAUCGUGACAAUACACGAAGAACUUUAUACCUAUCUAAUGACUAGUAUUAGUUAAAUGCUCUUUCUCAUUAGAUGUAGGAAUAAUUAACCAUAGAGGCUUGCACUUAGGACAAAUCUAGAAGCAGUUAUAAAGUCCUCACAAAAUGAAUGCGGAAAUUUUAGGUAUUGUCUUAUCUUCAAUCUAAUAUGCCUUUUAAACUUCUGACCUAGAGAACAUUCUAAACUCUUCAACCGGGAUGCCAUUUUUUGAGCCGAACUUUGUAUUCAACUUGUUAUGGGCCCCUUGAAUUUUGCUUCAUCUCUCCUUAAUUAGAAGUAGCAUGGCUUAACAACUUUUAUACUUUGAACUUCGAAUGUUUCUGGCACAUGCUUCUGAUUUUAGGUAUCAUGGAGUGAUUCUCACGUUGACUAUCAAAUAUUGACUGGACCCAACCCAUUAAUCUUAGGAAGAGAAUCACUGCCCUCAUGUUUAGAUUUUGUUUUUGAACCGCAAUUAUUAGAUCAAUAGUCCAAUUUUUUAUUUUAAAUAGGGCAUCUAUAUAAUGUUUUAUAUCCUUAUUUUUUCCCACAUGCUUGAUGAAUAGUUGAAUUUUACAUAAAAACAGAUGAAAUCUGAUACACAAGAAAUAUUUAUGUUGUAGUUCAUAAUCAAUUGUAUGAUAUUGAGUUUAGUUUAUAUAACACAGUAACAACAAUAAAAUUGGGAGAAAAGUCUCUCUCUCACAUAUAAAUAAGGCUUAAAGACAUAAAUUAAAUUUAUAAAAUUAUAAUGGGACCAAUAGUGUUUUAUGGAUUUGGGUUGUUGAGUGGAAGAGAAGUCAUGGAUUGUCCAAUUGAGCGAGGUAGAAAGGAGUUACCAAAGAAACUACAACAUAAAUAUUUAAAAAUAUUAAUGUGGGAAAAAUUAGAAAGGAUGGUUUUGGAGAUAUGGAUGGAUGAUGGGAUUAGCAUUUAUUAAAGAUAAAUGAAAAAAAAGAUUAGUUUUUGAAUGAUAAAAAAAUACACAAAUAAGAUUGGUGAUGUAAAAUUAAUGUGGAAAUAUUAGGAAAAAGUAUAAAUCAAUGUUACAUGGAUGGUGUCAUGCAAAAAGAUUUGUGCAUAUAGGUUUGGUAACUCAUAAUUUGGUCAACAUUAACAAUGAAGAAUGAUGACUAUAGAGAUGAUAUUAUAUUAUUAGGAUCUAAUGACGAUUAUCUUUAUAUUACAAACUCAACACGUAUGGACACACAAUUAAAUUGUACUAUUUAAUUUUGGUCAUUCUGUAGCCUCUUCAUAAUGAACAAACAAUCAACUAGAGCCACAUUCAUCACAUAAUGAACAAUCAACUUUGGGAUAUGUAGAAGGCCCAUAGAGUCUGGCCUUGAAUGAUCCAAAAUUAGGGAAAAAAAUCCAGUACCAGUGGACUCUGUUACUAAUGAUCUAGACUACUAUGAUAUCACACACACAGUGCAACUAUACGCAUAUUAAAUUGGAGUAUUUGGCUUCGGCCAUCUUGUAUCCCUUUCGUGAUGAACAAACAAUCAACUAGAUUCAGCCACAUGACUCGCAUCUUUCACAUAAACUCUGGGAUAGGUAUGUAAGGCCCGUACAGCUUGGCCUUGGAUGAUCUUGAAUUAGGAAAGAAAAUCCACCACUAGUGGGUUCUGAUAUUAGUGAUCCGAAAAUUUCAUAUUGGAAAAACUAUUGGAACUGGUAGGAUGGUUGAUAGCUUUGUUUUACAAGAAAUUGAUAAGCCUUUUGAUUUUCUGUGAGGAUCAAGAAUUAUGGUUUAUAUGGUUCUUGUGGAGGAAUUUUUCUAAAUCCCGCAUCCAAACUACCCCUUUAGAUUCAUGAAAAUGUUAGGAUUUUAGGGCAACCUAGGGUGUUUUUACAAUAGAAUUAGAUUGAAUCAAUAAAUUAUAAAAAGGAAAAAAGGGUUUAAGAUGAGAGUAUUACCAUGCACAGUAUUUUUUUUGAGAGAAGGAAAACGAUUUCAUUCUUUUUAGAGAGAGAAGAGGGGCUUGAGGGAGAUUUCUAGUGAGAGAAAGUGGGAUUUAUCUCUCUGUAUAAAGAGAAAGUGAGGUGGACGUGGAAAAAAUAUUCUAUGUUUAGAGAGAGAAAAUGAGUGGUGUUUUUAAGAGAGAGAAAAUAUGAGGUAGAAGGGAAAUAGAGAGUUUCUCACAUUGUUAAGAGAAAAAAAGAGGAAUGGAGAUCAGUUGUUGGUUGGAUGUGGUGAAGAGAGGAAUAAGAUGAGGAAAAUUCCUUUUGGAAUUUCUUUGUUUAGAGGGGAAAAGUGGAGAGUGAGGGUCGAUUUUUUUAGUGGAGAGGAGAGGAGAGCCAGUCGCGACCUUGGCUGAUUGAGUUGGACAAAGUUGGGGCUGAAACUGAAAGACCAGAUGUGGGUUGGCAUGAGUGUGCAGCACCGAAGCUGGUAAUGGUGGUGUGUGAUUGGCCGGGCUAGGGAAGGUGGAGGGUGUGACAACCGGUUCUUCCGGCCGGUUCAACCGAACCGGCCGGCCCGCCCUUUUAAGUACCGCGAACAGAAACAGUUCGCGGAACCGAGCAGUUCGCACGAACAGGGAGCGGGCGGACGACAGAACGUGCGAAGGAGGGAUUUCGAGUUUUUUUUUUCGCCAUUUUUAGCAGUCGAUCGCGUUGGUGGAUAAGAAUUGAUCAUUCCUUUUCAUUUCUACCAUUAAAGGAAUGUUAUUUUGGGAGAAA